AGAUUGAACGCUGGCGGCAUGCCUAACACAUGCAAGUCGAACGGCAGCACAGUGGUAGCAAUACCAUGGGUGGCGAGUGGCGGACGGGUGAGUAAUGCAUCGGGACCUACCUGAACGUGGGGGAUAACGUAGGGAAACUUACGCUAAUACCGCAUACGUCCUACGGGAGAAAGCGGGGGAUCUUCGGACCUCGCGCGGUCAGACGGACCGAUGUUCGAUUAGCUAGUUGGUAAGGUAAUGGCUUACCAAGGCGACGAUCGAUAGCUGGUCUGAGAGGACGAUCAGCCACACUGGGAUUGAGAACGGCCCAGACUCCUACGGGGGGCAGCAGUGAGGAAUUUUCGGCAAUGGGGGCAACCCUGACCGAGCAACGCCGCGUGCAGGACGACGGCCUUCGGUUGUAAACUGCUUUUCUCUGGGACGAGCAAGGACGGUACCAGAGGAAGAAGCCCCGGCUAACUACGUGCCAGCAGCCGC
rnacentral:rRNA from 1 species